rnacentral:rRNA from 1 species
UACGUAGGGUGCGAGCGUUAAUCGGAAUUACUGGGCGUAAAGCGUGCGCAGGCGGUUUUGUAAGCCAGACGUGAAAUCCCCGGGCUUAACCUGGGAAUGGCGUUUUGAACUGGCAGUCUAGAGUGUGUCAGAGGGGGGUAGAAUUCCACGUGUAGCAGUGAAAUGCGUAGAGAUGUGGAGGAAUACCGAUGGCGAAGGCAGCCCCCUGGGAUAACACUGACGCUCAUGUACGUAAGCGUGGGUAGCAAACAGGAUUAGAUACCCUGGUAGUCCACGCCCUAAACGAUGUCAACUGGUUGUUGGGGGAGUGAAAUCCCUUAGUAACGAAGCUAACGCGUGAAGUUGACCGCCUGGGGAGUACGGUCGCAAGAUUAAA